rnacentral:rRNA from 1 species
UACGAAGGACCCGAGCGUUAUCCGGAUUUAUUGGGUUUAAAGGGUGCGUAGGCGGAAUAGUAAGUCAGUGGUGAAAGCCUGUUGCUUAACAACAGAACUGCCAUCGAUACUGCUAAUCUUGAGUACAUAUGAUGUGGGCGGAAUGUGCCAUGUAGCGGUGAAAUGCUUAGAUAUGGCACAGAACACCGAUUGCGAAGGCAGCUCACAAAACUGUUACUGACGCUGAGGCACGAAAGCGUGGGGAUCAAACAGG